rnacentral:tRNA from 1 species
GGGUGUUUAGCCUUGCCUAAUGGGUGAGGAUCAAAAAAAGCCUCAGACCCGAGUUCAAAUCUCGGCGAGCCCA